ACUCCUACGGGAGGCAGCAGUGGGGAAUAUUGCACAAUGGGGGAAACCCUGAUGCAGCCAUGCCGCGUGUGUGAAGAAGGCCUUGGGUUGUAAAGCACUUUCAGUAGGGAGGAAGGUAGUGUAGUUAACACCUGCAUUAUUUGUACGUUACCUACAGAAGAAGCACCGGCUAACUCCGUGCCAGCAGCCGCGGUAAUACGGAGGGUGCGAGCGUUAAUCGGAAUUACUGGGCGUAAAGCGCAUGCAGGCGGCCUGUUAAGUCAGAUGUGAAAGCCCGGGGCUUAACCUCGGAAUUGCAUUUGAAACUGGCAGGCUAGAGUCUUGUAGAGGGGUUAGAAUUUCAGGUGUAG
rnacentral:rRNA from 1 species